rnacentral:tRNA from 1 species
GGGGGUGUAGCUGAGUGGUAGAGUACGGGUUUACACACGUGAGGUCCUGGGUUCAAUCCCCAGUACUUCCA